UACGUAGGGGGCAAGCGUUAUCCGGAUUUACUGGGUGUAAAGGGAGCGCAGACGGGAACGGAAGUCAGAUGUGGAAGCCCCGGGCAUAACCCGGGGAGCGCAUUUGAAACUCUGAUCCUAGAGUACUGGAGGGGUGGGCGGAAUUCCUGGUGUAGCGGUGAAAUGCGUAGAUAUCAGGAAGAACACCGGCGGCGAAGGCGGCCCACUGGACAGCAACUGACGUUGAGGCUCGAAAGCGUGGGGAG
rnacentral:rRNA from 1 species